AGGGCUGCAGAGGAGGAGGAAUCCAGUAUUGAGUCUAUCCACUGAACCACCGGAUGCAUCAGCAGAGUGAUCUUUAUCAUCUUGUGGCUGAACUGCGGGUGGACGGUAAACGGCAUCAUCAGUAUUUCCAGAUAAGUGCAGAGCAAAUGGAUGAGCAUCUAUCACUCAUUGUCCUUGAACCUACCAGAGAGCCCAGUAACUACAGAGCUGCCAUUGAACCCAAGCGGACAUGGCUGUUGCAUUGCAAUGAGCUUGGAAUUUGAUACACAAUAAAUCACCUUCUUAAAAGGUUGUAAAGGAAGGGCUUCUUUCUUUACUCUGGGGGUCAGCACUAGAAGUCAGUGGUCCUGUUGCAUUAAGGUGUGAGGUUUGUGGGGGAUGGGUGACCUGUCAAAAACUCCCUGGCCUUUGGGGGAUGCAAAAGUGGGAGUGGGGAGAGUGGUAGUGAGAUGUAGCAUGUAUCUUUAACCUUGUGUUCACGGUCAAGUUGGAGUGUUGUGUCAGGCUGUGUUGAUUUCCAUGUAAGGCAGGAGGUUUUAAAAUUUCCAGCUUUGGCUUGUUGCAGUCCAGUUUUGAGCAAAAUGAUAUGACUCAUCAAGCUCAGUUUCUUGUUUUAGGAGUGGCUUCUUAUCCUCUGAGUCAGAUGAUUGGGGAUGAUUAGGAUGGUUUACUGCUGCUCCUCCUUAUAUGUUCUGUAGUGUGUGUCACUGUUGAGGCCCAUCUCUCAGAGGUUUUUUCUCCAUAGAGUUGGGUUCCUGACAGGGAUGAUAUUGACGACAGACAGUGGUUUCUGUUCAGUGACAGUGGCAUUGAAAACCAAAAACAUAAAAACCAACUUUGUCUUUUUGUAGCACUUACAUCACAUGAACUAUUUUGUCAUAAUCUUAAUAACAUAAGUUCAUUUGCAAUGUAUCACUAAUGAAGCACUCACACCGAGUGCAGGUAAAAUCAUCUACUCGCUUAAUUCCCGCAUCAACGGUAAUUUCAGCGAUAAUCCCUGCCAAUUCAACCAGCAGGAUCAAGUGAUAGACAAAGGUUUUUUACAAUUUACCAGGUAAUCCGACCUCCUUACUCACUUGCCUCCAGGAGAGCUCCCAUUUUAUUCUGGUUUUCUUGAAAAAGACAGUAUCAUAUAAUUCAGGGCACCCACACACCAACACGAUCAGUUUGUCCUCCAUUUUAGAUACCAGUGACCAACCGUCUGUUUUCAUACCUCACCUGGCAACCUUUGUGCUGAUUAGUUGUCACUAGUGUCUGCUCAAGUUGAGACAUUUUCAGCUCCCGCCAAUACGCGUCAAUUAUGCCUCCAGAGUAGUAGGAGCGUCUAAUCGCAUGUUUGCAUUGACUUAAAAUGUAAUUCAUUCGUGUGAAUGGUUUUACUCGUGCUUGGUGUGUGGAGAGGGUAAGAUUAAUAAAGUUGAUAUUGCAAUGAACACUGUGUCAAACUAAGGGUUAGACAGUUUGAGUCCUCCUUGGCUGAAGGUGGAGCAAAAGAAGGGUCAUCAUUUUAAUGAAGCUCCUCUCUUUUUGUGUGCCACUUUUGAGGCCAUUAUUUAGUGCUUGGUAAAAAGAAACAGAAACAUAAAGAGAAGGAGAGGUUAAUAGAUAAUAUCAUAUGUAACUUGUCUUUUUUGUUUAACUCCUCACAGGUACUUGGCUUCUUGCUGAUCAGCCCUGUUUUCAGUUAUCCACAGGGCCACACAACAAAUGAAAACUAUGUCCAUAUGGUGUGUGCACCCACUAAAUAAGUCAUGAUAGAAACGCUCCUACCCAGACUGACCCCAGACACUUGGAAGAAGGUAGCAUGGCAAUUUUUCAAUAAUGGACCUUUCCAAAUUGCCUUGAAAAUCUUAAUGGAAAACAUGUUGUUAUUCGAGCACUGUCGCUGACUGGUAGCCAGUUUUUUAAUUACAAAAAGGCUUUUUUUAUUGUGCUUUUGGCACUUGAGGACAAAGAAUACCAGUUCAAAUGAAAGCCACUGGGAGGACAAGUGAUAGCAAGGUGUGUGCAGGAUUUGAUUUGGAAGAGGAGCAGAGAACAGGACACUGCCUGGAGCUGCUCACUUAGGGGAUGUGCAUAUUCCUCCUUCAGCCCUUUCUAAUGACCCCGGACAGAAUCACUGCCGCAAACAGAGGAUUUUCAUCGAUAGACUGACUCUUUAGAGCGAGGAAGGUAGUUGGGAAUGCUGUUGGACCCCUGGCAUUCCCAUGGAGAAUAAUUAAAGGCUGGAUUAACCUGCAACCUGAAAACGUGUACGUGCUUGUGGUGACUGCUGGAAGAGGUUGAGUAGCUCAGAGAAAUAUGUGAGGGAACAGAGCUUCAAGGGAGGUCUGCGCGGUGAGGAACUGCUCUGCAGCUUUUUAAAAUCUCCCCUGAAGGCACUGUGUCCUGGUAAGAUAGGAUGGUUUACCGACUACAUAGACAUUAUUGUUGUCAAUUGCACAUUUUAGUAAAAAUGUUUGAGUUCUUUUCAUCUAGUUAGGAUUUGCUUGGUUUGUAAUGAUGCAAAUAAUUGUAAAACUAUGACUUUUAAAGAACAGACUCACAACAUAUUCAAGUGAAGAAAAGAAGAGGUCAAGUUACACUUUCUUCACAUUAGACUGUAAUUAAACUGUAUUCUCAAGAAAACAUCUGUGAC
rnacentral:lncRNA from 1 species